rnacentral:tRNA from 1 species
GUGUGCGUAAUUUAAAAAAA